rnacentral:rRNA from 1 species
GACGAACGCUGGCGGCGUGCUUAACACAUGCAAGUCGAACGGAAAGGCCCUGCUUUUGUGGGGUGCUCGAGUGGCGAACGGGUGAGUAACACGUGAGUAACCUGCCCUUGACUUUGGGAUAACUUCAGGAAACUGGGGCUAAUACCGGAUAGGAGCUCCUGCUGCAUGGUGGGGGUUGGAAAGUUUCGGCGGUUGGGGAUGGACUCGCGGCUUAUCAGCUUGUUGGUGGGGUAGUGGCUUACCAAGGCUUUGACGGGUAGCCGGCCUGAGAGGGUGACCGGCCACAUUGGGACUGAGAUACGGUCCAGACUCGUACGGGAGGCAGCAGUGGGGAAUAUUGCACAAUGGGCGGAAGCCUGAUGCAGCAACGCCGCGUGCGGGAUGACGGCCUUCGGGUUGUAAACCGCUUUCGCCUGUGACGAAGCGUGAGUGACGGUAAUGGGUAAAGAAGCACCGGCUAACUACGUG